rnacentral:rRNA from 1 species
GUAGGUGGCAAGCGUUGUCCGGAAUUAUUGGGCGUAAAGCGCGCGCAGGCGGUUCUUUAAGUCUGAUGUGAAAGCCCACGGCCCAACCGUGGAGGGUCAUUGGAAACUGGAGAACUUGAGUACAGAAGAGGAAAGCGGAAUUCCACGUGUAGCGGUGAAAUGCGUAGAGAUGUGGAGGAACACCAGUGGCGAAGGCGGCUUUCUGGUCUGUAACUGACGCUGAGGCGCGAAAGCGUGGGGAGCAAACCGGGAUUAGAUACCCUGGUAGUCCACGCCGUAAACGAUGAGUGCUAAGUGUUAGGGGGUUUCCCGCCCCUUAGUGCUGCAGCUAACGCAUUAAGCACUCCGCCUGGGGAGUACGGCCGCAAGGCUG